rnacentral:rRNA from 1 species
CAGCAGCCGCGGUAAUACGAGGGGGGCAAGCGUUGUUCGGAAUUAUUGGGCGUAAAGGGUGCGUAGGCGGUUUGGCAAGUCUUAUGUGAAAUCUUCGGGCUCAACCCGAAGUCUGCAUGAGAAACUGCCGGGCUUGAGUAUGGGAGAGGUGAGUGGAAUUUCCGGUGUAGCGGUGAAAUGCGUAGAUAUCGGAAGGAACACCUGUGGCGAAAGCGGCUCACUGGACAAUAACUGACGCUGAUGCACGAAAGCUAGGGGAGCAAACAGGAUUAGAUACCCGGGUAGUCCCUGUCUCUUAUAC